rnacentral:lncRNA from 1 species
AUUCCACCUCUCACUCCCUUGCCGGCCAUGUGGUGUGUGUGGGGCUGGCCCCAAUCCCUGGGUCCAGGGGACACAUCACCUAGAUCUGGCCGUGGAGAGCCAACUGGGAGACUCUUGCUGGAGCAACUAGGAAAAGGAUGUGUCUGUCUGUUGGAUGCAUAGGAUGCGGAGCACAGGAUGCGAUCUUGAAGCUGCUGGCAGGUGUGGAACCCAGAAAUGGAGAUGGAAAGUCCCGAGCACCUGCUCCGUGCCAGGAUGCCACCACAGCAUGACUUGGUGAGCGGUGUGUAGGCCUGUGCUCGGGAUCCAAACCUGCGAACCCCGGGCCGCCAAAGCAGAGCAUGUGAACUUAACCGAUACACCACUGAGCCGGCCCCUGCAUAUAUCUUUUAAUACAGCAAUUUUACUUCUGGAAACUUAUCUGGCAGAAAUAAAAGCUGGUUAUUUC